CGCUACCGCUGGGUCGAUGGUUCCCGGUCGUGCAUGCGCCGGGAUGAAAAGGGAACACGGUGCGGCCCUCUGGCGACAGAGGACCAAUGCCGAGACUGCCCCCGCAACUGUAAGCGGUGAGCGAUGCCGAAAUGCCACUGGCCCCCGGGCCGGGAAGGCCGGCAAAGCCCGGACCCGCAAGUCAGGAGACCUGCCAUCGCAACCGUAACUCG
rfam:Ruegeria pomeroyi DSS-3, complete genome.